rnacentral:rRNA from 1 species
ACGAACGCUGGCGGCGUGCUUCACACCUGCCAGUCGCACGGAAAGGCCCUGCUUUUGUGGGGUGCUCGCGUGGCGAACGGGUGAGUAACACGUGAGUAACCUGCCCUUGACUUUGGGAUAACUUCAGGAAACUGGGGCUAAUACCGGAUAGGAGCUCCUGCUGCAUGGUGGGGGUUGGAAAGUUUCGGCGGUUGGGGAUGGACUCGCGGCUUAUCAGCUUGUUGGUGGGGUAGUGGCUUACCAAGGCUUUGACGGGUAGCCGGCCUGGGAGGGUGACCGGCCACAUUGGGACUGAGAUACGGCCCAGACUCCUACGGGAGGCAGCAGUGGGGAAUAUUGCACAAUGGGCGGAAGCCUGAUGCAGCAACGCCGCGUGCGGGAUGACGGCCGUCGGGUUGUAAACCGCUUUCGCCUGUGACGAAGCGUGAGUGACGGUAAUGGGUAAAGAAGCACCGGCUAACUACGUG